CCUACGGGUGGCAGCAGUGGGGAAUAUUGCGCAAUGGGCGAAAGCCUGACGCAGCGACGCCGCGUGAGGGAUGAAGGUCUUCUGAUCGUAAACCUCUGUCAGCAGGGAAGAACGGUCACUGUGCUAAUCAGCAGUGAAUUGACGGUACCUGCAAGGGACGCACCGGCUAACUCCGUGCCAGCAGCCGCGGUAAUACGGAGGGUGCGAGCGUUAAUCGGAUUUACUGGGCGUAAAGCGCUCGUAGGCGGUAUGUCAAGUCACGGGUGAAAUCCCCGGGCUCAACGGGGGAACUGCCUUUGAAACUGGCAGACUGGAGUGUGGUAGAGGAUAGUGGAAUUCGAGGUGUAGGAGUGAAAUCCGUAGAUAUCUGGAGGAACAUCAGUGGCGAAGGCGACUAGCUGGAACAUAACUGACGCUGAGGAGCGAAAGCGUGGGUAGCAAACAGGAUUAGAUACCCUAGUAGUC
rnacentral:rRNA from 1 species